rnacentral:rRNA from 1 species
GACGAACGCUGGCGGCGUGCCUAACACAUGCAAGUCGAGCGGGAACCUCAGGAGGGGCAACCCUUCUGAGGGGAGAGCGGCGAACGGGUGAGUAACACGUGGGCAACCUGCCCCGGACACCGGGAUAACCCAGGGAAACCUGAGCUAAUACCGGAUACUCCGGCGCGAUCGCAUGGUCGUGCCGGGAAAGCUCCGACGGUCCGGGAGUGGGCCCGGCGGCCUAUCAGCUUGUUGGCGGGGUAACGGCCCACCAAGGCGACGACGGGUAGCUGGUCUGAGAGGACGGCCAGCCACACUGGGACUGAGACACGGCCCAGACUCCUACGGGAGGCAGCAGUGGGGGAUCUUGCGCUAAUGCGCGAAAGCGUGACGCAGCGACGCCGCGU